rnacentral:rRNA from 1 species
AUUGAACGCUGGCGGCAUGCUUUACACAUGCAAGUCGAACGGUAACAGCACUUCGGUGGCUGACGAGUGGCGAACGGGUGAGUAAUACAUCGGAACGUGCCUAGUAGUGGGGGAUAACUACUCGAAAGAGUAGCUAAUACCGCAUGAGAUCUAAGGAUGAAAGCAGGGGACCUUCGGGCCUUGCGCUACUAGAUCGGCUGAUGGCAGAUUAGGUAGUUGGUGGGAUAAAAGCUUACCAAGCCGACGAUCUGUAGCUGGUCUGAGAGGACGACCAGCCACACUGGAACUGAGACACGGCCCAGACUCCUACGGGAGGCAGCAGUGGGGAAUUUUGGACAAUGGGCGCAAGCCUGAUCCAGCAAUGCCGCGUGAAGGAUGAAGGCCUUCGGGUUGUAAACUGCUUUUGUACGGAACGAAAAGCCCUCUUCUAAUACAGGAGGGUCAUGACGGUACCGUAAGAAUAAGCACCGGCUAACUACGUG